AGAGGUCUUAGGUAGCUUAUGUCAAGCAUCAGCUUCUCAGGGAAACUUGGUUUGGGAUAGAUUUCUCCAGAGCUCCAGGAGCUGUGGAUGGACUUCGUAAUUAAAAAGCAGUAGCACGGGUUCAAUGCAUGUGGCUCACCUGGAGAUCUGGUUAAAAUGCAGAUUUUAACUGAGUAGGGCUGAUUGGGACUGAAGCAUCUACAUUGCUAACCAGCUCCAGGUGACUCAGUGCUGCUGUCCCGGGCUCAGAGGACACCUUAGCUGGGCUUCGGAAAGCCUGUUGGAUCUGGGAAGGGAGGCCCCGGAGCAGAAUUAGUUUGCAGUGAAAAUAAAGCCAGCUCAACUGGAAUGGGAACCGUCGUCUGAGGUAGGCCUCCUGAAGUUUACAAAAGAGAGAGGAUCAUUUUCAGCUGAAAGAAUUAAGAAGGAACUCUGUAUGAAUGAGCAUCCAUCCUUGACCUUGAAGGACAAAGAGAAAUCAGAAGGCAGCAUAGAAUGGGGGGAAUGAGCUCCUGAGAUCCACAGGUUAGGCGUAAACCAUCAGAAGAAAUUGACAUCCAACAGUACACAUUAUGACAAAUGCCAAGAAGGAAACUGACUGUAAGUAUACAGGAGGACAAGAUGGAGAGAU
rnacentral:lncRNA from 12 species